rnacentral:rRNA from 1 species
GGACGACGCUGGCGGCGUGCCUAACACAUGCAAGUCGAGCGGGGACAUACGACGGAGUCAAAGUUUCGGAUGGAGACGAAGAUGUAUGUUCUAGCGGCGGACGGGUGAGUAACGCGUGAGCAACCUGUCCCUUACAGGGGGAUAACACAGCGAAAGUUGUACUAAUACCGCAUGAGACCACGGGAGGACAUCCUCCAGGGGUCAAAGGAGCAAUCCGGUAAGGGGUGGGCUCGCGUCCGAUUAGAUAGUUGGUGAGGUAACGGCCCACCAAGUCGACGAUCGGUAGCCGACCUGAGAGGGUGAUCGGCCACAUUGGGACUGAGACACGGCCCAAACUCCUACGGGAGGCAGCAGUGGGGAAUAUUGGGCAAAUGGGGGAAACCCUGACCCAGCAACGCCGCGUGAGGGAAGAAGGUUUUCGGAUCGUAAACCUCUGUCCUUGGUGAAGAGUAAGAGACGGUAGCCAAGGAGGAAGCCCCGGCUAACUACGUGCCAGCCGCCGC